GCACUUGGUUCGGUAGUACCUAUUCUAAAUUGGAACAAUUCAGAGAAAAUUAGUAUGACCCCUGCACAAAGAUGGCACAUAUCAUGAAACGUUCCGCAAUUUU